UCAAAUUUAUCGCUGAAUCCUCUUUUGAGGAACGGGGGAACCAACGAAGCCAUAUGGCUUCAGGGGUGAAUUCUUUCUAGGUUACAGAAAGGACGGGGACUCUCAAACCCGAAUCCGACAGCUAACCUCGUAAGCGUUAUGGGAGAGAAUAU
rnacentral:sRNA from 2 species